rnacentral:rRNA from 1 species
AUACGUAGGGGGCGAGCGUUGUCCGGAAUGAUUGGGCGUACAGGGCGCGUAGGCGGCCCGGUAAGUCUGGAGUGAAAGUCCUGUUUUUAAGCUGGGAAUUGCUUUGGAUACUGUCGGGCUUGAGCGCAGGAGAGGUAAGUGGAAUUCCCAGUGAAGCGGCGAAAUGCGUAUACAUUGGGAGGAUCACCAGUGGCGAAGGCGAAUUACUGGACUGUAACUCACGCUGAGGCGCGAAAGUGUGGAGAGCAAACAGGAUUAGAUACCCUGGUAGUCCACGCUGUAAACGAUGAAUGCUAGGUGUAGGGGGUAUCGACCCCUUCUGUGCCGCAGUCAACACAAUAAGCAUUCCGCCUGGGGAGUACGGCCGCAAGGUUGAAACUCAAAGGAAUUGACGGGG